UUAAGUGACGAUAGCCUAGGAGAUACACCUGUACCCAUGCCGAACACAGUAGUUAAGCCCUAGAACGCCUGAAGUAGUUGGGGGUUGCCCCCUGUGAGAUAUGGAAGUUGCUUAGC
rnacentral:rRNA from 1 species